GACGAACCGUGCGAACGUUAUUCGGAAUCACUGGCUUAAAGCGCGUGUAGGCGGGACGGCACGUCGGUCGCUGAAAGCCCCCGGCUCAACCGGGGAACGGGCGCCGAUACGACCGGCCUGGAGGGACGUAGGGGGACCUGGAACUUCCGGUGGAGCGGUGAAAUGCGUUGAGAUCGGAAGGAACGCCCGUGGCGAAAGCGAGGUCCUGGACGUUUUCUGACGCUGAGACGCGAAAGCCAGGGGAGCGAACGGG
rnacentral:rRNA from 1 species